AUUGAACGCUGGCGGCAGGCCUAACACAUGCAAGUCGAGCGGAUGAAGGGAGCUUGCUCCUGGAUUCAGCGGCGGACGGGUGAGUAAUGCCUAGGAAUCUGCCUGGUAGUGGGGGAUAACGUCCGGAAACGGGCGCUAAUACCGCAUACGUCCUGAGGGAGAAAGUGGGGGAUCUUCGGACCUCACGCUAUCAGAUGAGCCUAGGUCGGAUUAGCUAGUUGGUGGGGUAAAGGCCUACCAAGGCGACGAUCCGUAACUGGUCUGAGAGGAUGAUCAGUCACACUGGAACUGAGACACGGUCCAGACUCCUACGGGAGGCAGCAGUGGGGAAUAUUGGACAAUGGGCGAAAGCCUGAUCCAGCCAUGCCGCGUGUGCGAAGAAGGUCUUCGGAUUGUAAAGCACUUUAAGUUGGGAGGAAGGGCAGUAAGUUAAUACCUUGCUGUUUUGACGUUACCAACAGAAUAAGCACCGGCUAACUUCGU
rnacentral:rRNA from 1 species